rnacentral:rRNA from 1 species
UACAGAGGGGGCAAGCGUUGUUCGGAAUUACUGGGCGUAAAGGGCGCGUAGGCGGCCUGCCAAGUCAGGGGUGAAAGCCCCCAGCUCAACUGGGGAAGUGCCUUUGAUACUGGCGGGCUCGAGCGAGGCAGGGGUCGUGGGAACUUCCGGUGGAGCGGUGAAAUGCGUUGAUAUCGGAAGGAACGCCGGUGGCGAAAGCGCACGACUGGUCCUCUUCUGACGCUGAGGCGCGAAAGCCAGGGGAGCAAACGGG